rfam:Triticum urartu cultivar G1812 contig122136, whole genome shotgun sequence.
UUACUACUCCCUCCAUCCCAAAAUUCUUGUCUUAUAUUUGUCUAGAUACGGAUGUAUCUAAUACUAAAACGUGACUUGAUACAUCCGUAUUUAGACAAAUCUAAGACAAGAAUUUUGGGAUGGAGGGAGUAAUAC